rnacentral:sRNA from 1 species
GCCGGGCGCGGUGGCGAGCGCCUGUAAUCCAAGUUGCUGGGGGGCUGAGGCUGGCGGACCGUUUGAGCUCAGGGGUUCUGGGCUGUAGUGGACUAUGUCGAUCGGGUGUCUGCACUAAGUUCGGUAUCGAUAUGGUGCUCCUGAGGGAGCUCGGGACCACCAGGUCGCCUAAGGAGGGGUGAACCGGCCCAGGUCGGAAACGGAGCAGGUCAAAGCCCCCGUGCCGGUCAGUAGU